GGCCUACACAACCCAAUGGCGAGGCGGAGAAGGCGGGUCCGAGAUGGGUUAGGGUGUCCUUGCAGGGUGUCUGAGCUAAACUUCACCAAAUAAUAGCUGUUUGUAUUUUGGCUGCUGCAGGAGCCAUUUUAGAAAUAAGUAUCUUCCUUGAAUUGAUGAAAAUGAAAAUACAGAAGAAAGAGAAGCAGUUGUCAAAUUUAAAAGUUUUGAAUCACUCCCCAAUGUCUGAUGCCUCUGUCAAUUUUGACUACAAAUCCCCAUCCCCGUUUGACUGCAGCACUGAUCAGGAAGAGAAAAUUGAAGAUGUUGCCAGGCACUGUCUGCCCCAGCAGGACAUAUACACUACUGAAGAAGAAGCUGACACCCUUUUCCCUAGGAAAGUGACAUCCUGCAAUGGGACAGAGGAUAGUGGAGGCGGAGGUACUGGAGUGAAGAAGAAACGGAAGAAAAAGGACCCAGGAGAGCAAGGUGGUACAGCAAAGGGAAACAAGGACAGGGAGCCCAAGCCAAAGAGGAAGCGAGAACCUAAAGAGCCAAAGGAACCCAGGAAGACCAAGGAGCCGAAGAAGGCCAGGGAGCCCAAGGAGCCCAAGCAGAAAGAUGGAGCAAAGAAGGCGCGCAAGCCCCGAGAGGCCUCUGGCACCAAGGAGGCCAAAGAGAAGAGGAGCAGUGCUGACUCUGCAGCCAGGACAAAGUCCAAGAAGGCCAGCAAGGAGCAAGGACCAACACCAGUGGAGAGAAAGAAGAAAGGAAAGAGGAAAAGUGAAACAACAGUGGAGAGUUUAGAACUGGAUCAGGGCCUGCCGAACUCAUCCCUGCGGAGUCCCGAGGAGUCCACUGAGUCUGCUGACAGCCAGAAACGACGUUCAGGUCGACAAGUGAAACGCAGAAAAUACAACGAGGACCUCGACUUUAAAGUGGUGGAUGAUGACGGGGAAACGAUCGCUGUUCUUGGAGCUGGCCGAACAUCUGCACUCUCAGCUUCUACACUGGCUUGGCAGGCAGAGGAGCCUCCAGAAGAUGAUGCAAACAUCAUCGAGAAGAUAUUGGCAUCUAAGACCGUCCAAGAGGUUCACCCAGGAGAACCUCCAUUUGACCUAGAGCUAUUCUACGUUAAGUAUAGAAAUUUUUCCUACUUACAUUGUAAAUGGGCUACAAUGGAAGAGCUGGAAAAGGAUCCUCGCAUCGCACAGAAGAUCAAGCGAUUUAGAAAUAAACAAGCGCAGAUGAAGCACAUUUUUACUGAGCCUGAUGAAGAUUUGUUCAACCCAGACUAUGUAGAAGUCGAUCGCAUCUUAGAAGUGGCCCACACUAAGGAUGCAGAAACAGGGGAGGAAGUAACACAUUACCUGGUGAAGUGGUGUUCCCUGCCAUAUGAAGAAAGCACGUGGGAGCUAGAGGAAGAUGUGGAUCCUGCAAAAGUUAAGGAAUUUGAGUCUCUGCAGGUUCUGCCUGAAAUUAAGCAUGUGGAGCGGCCUGCAUCAGACUCCUGGCAGAAACUUGACAAGUCUCGCGAGUAUAAGAACAGUAACCAGCUCCGAGAGUACCAAUUGGAAGGCAUGAACUGGCUUCUUUUUAAUUGGUAUAACAGGAAAAACUGUAUUUUGGCUGAUGAGAUGGGCUUAGGGAAAACCAUUCAGUCCAUCACAUUCCUUUCAGAAAUAUUCCUCAGGGGGAUCCAUGGCCCUUUUCUCAUCAUUGCACCUCUCUCUACUAUCACCAACUGGGAGAGGGAGUUCCGGACAUGGACAGAGAUGAAUGCCAUUGUGUACCACGGCAGCCAGAUCAGCAGGCAAAUGAUCCAGCAGUAUGAGAUGGUGUACAGGGAUGCACAGGGAAAUCCCCUUUCAGGAGUUUUCAAGUUCCAUGUCGUCAUCACAACAUUUGAGAUGAUCCUGGCAGAUUGCCCAGAGUUGAAGAAGAUUCACUGGAGCUGUGUGAUAAUUGAUGAGGCACACAGAUUGAAGAAUAGGAAUUGCAAACUUCUAGAGGGGUUAAAGCUUAUGGCCCUGGAACAUAAAGUGCUACUCACCGGAACACCCUUACAAAACUCUGUGGAAGAGCUGUUCAGUUUGCUAAAUUUUCUGGAGCCAACACAGUUUCCUUCAGAGACUGCAUUCUUGGAGGAGUUUGGAGAUCUGAAAACAGAGGAACAGGUGAAGAAAUUGCAAUCUAUCCUAAAACCAAUGAUGCUUCGACGCCUGAAAGAUGAUGUGGAAAAGAACCUUGCUCCUAAACAAGAGACCAUCAUUGAAGUAGAAUUGACCAAUAUCCAGAAAAAGUACUACCGAGCUAUCCUGGAGAAAAAUUUUUCCUUCCUGACUAAGGGGGCAAAUCAGCACAACAUGCCCAAUCUUAUCAACACCAUGAUGGAGCUGAGAAAGUGCUGUAACCAUCCCUACUUGAUCAAUGGAGCAGAGGAAAAAAUUCUGGAAGAUUUCCGAAAAACUCACAGUCCUGAUGCUCCUGACUUUCAGCUGCAGGCCAUGAUCCAGGCAGCCGGGAAGCUGGUGCUGAUUGAUAAACUGCUUCCUAAGCUGAUUGCAGGUGGCCACAAAGUGCUCAUCUUCUCCCAGAUGGUGCGCUGCCUUGAUAUCCUCGAAGAUUAUCUCAUCCAGAGAAGAUACACCUAUGAGCGAAUUGAUGGGCGAGUACGGGGAAACCUGCGCCAGGCAGCCAUCGACCGAUUCUGUAAGCCAGACUCAGACCGCUUUGUCUUUCUUCUGUGCACCAGAGCGGGAGGCCUGGGGAUCAAUCUCACAGCUGCUGAUACCUGCAUCAUAUUUGAUUCUGACUGGAACCCACAAAAUGACUUGCAGGCUCAGGCCCGAUGUCACCGUAUAGGCCAGAGCAAAGCUGUGAAGGUGUACCGCCUCAUCACUCGGAACUCCUAUGAGCGGGAAAUGUUUGACAAGGCCAGCCUAAAGCUGGGCCUGGACAAGGCUGUCCUUCAGGACAUCAACCGAAAGGGCGGCACCAAUGGAGUACAGCAGCUCUCAAAAAUGGAGGUGGAGGAUUUGCUCCGGAAAGGUGCUUAUGGAGCCUUAAUGGACGAGGAGGAUGAAGGUUCCAAGUUCUGUGAAGAAGAUAUAGACCAGAUUCUGCAAAGGAGAACCCACACCAUCACCAUCCAGUCCGAAGGGAAAGGGUCCACUUUUGCCAAGGCUAGCUUUGUGGCUUCAGGAAACCGGACAGAUAUUUCCUUAGAUGACCCUAACUUUUGGCAGAAAUGGGCUAAAAUAGCUGAACUGGACACCGAAGCAAAGAAUGAAAAGGAGAGCUUAGUGAUCGACCGGCCUCGUGUAAGAAAGCAGACCAAACACUACAACUCUUUUGAGGAGGAUGAGCUUAUGGAGUUUUCAGAGUUAGACAGUGACUCAGAUGAAAGACCCACAAGAUCCAGACGCCUCAAUGACAAAGCCAGGCGCUACCUCCGAGCUGAGUGCUUCCGAGUAGAGAAGAACCUGCUCAUCUUUGGCUGGGGCCGAUGGAAGGACAUCCUGACUCAUGGGCGAUUCAAGUGGCACCUGAAUGAGAAGGAUAUGGAGAUGAUCUGCCGGGCCCUGCUGGUGUACUGUGUCAAACAUUAUAAGGGGGAUGAGAAGAUCAAGAGUUUCAUUUGGGAACUAAUCACACCUACGAAAGAUGGACAGGCCCAGACUCUCCAGAACCACUCAGGGUUGUCUGCCCCAGUCCCUAGAGGGAGGAAAGGAAAGAAGAUGAAGAAUCAGCUGCUGCUCCCAGAACUAAAAAAUGCAGACUGGCUGACCACCUGCAACCCUGAGGUGGUCUUGCAUGAUGAUGGCUACAAGAAACACCUCAAGCAGCACUGUAACAAAGUCCUUUUGCGAGUCCGGAUGCUGUACUACCUAAAAGCUGAAAUCCUGGGAGAAGCAGCUGAUAAAGCAUUUGAGGGAGCUCCUGCCAGGGAACUGGAUGUGCCUCUGCCUGACAUUGACUACGUGGAGAUCCCAGUGGACUGGUGGGAUGCUGAGGCUGAUAAAUCCCUUCUCAUUGGUGUUUUCAAGCAUGGUUAUGAGAGGUACAAUGCCAUGCGAGCAGACCCAGCCCUCUGCUUCCUGGAGAAAGUUGGGAUGCCAGAUGAGAAGUCCCUUUCAGCAGAGCAGGGUGGUACAGAUGGGACAUCAGACAUUCCUGAAAGAGGCAACAUGGAUAAAGAAGACACCACCGAAGACAAAUUAGAUGGCCUCCAGAAACAAACGGAGAAUUCCAGUGACGGUGGCGAAGGCGUUUUUGGUGAAAAGAAGGAUGACAGCCGGGCAGCCCAGGAUAGCUCCGACCCAGACAAAUCACCCUGGCCAGUUUCAUCCGCUCUCACAGCUCGUCUCCGGCGUCUGGUCACUAUCUACCAGCGCUGCAACCGUAAAGAGCUCUGCAGACCUGAAAUCCUGGGACCGGGUAACCAGGGAUACUGGGUUCAGGAGGAGAUGUUCAGGAGAACCUCAGAAAUGGACCUCAUCAACAAGGAAACCCAGAAGAGGUGGACCAGGAGAGAGCAAGCAGACUUCUACAGAACAGUGUCUUCCUUUGGUGUUGUUUACGAUCAAGAGAAGAAAACCUUCGACUGGACCCAGUUCCGCAUCAUAUCCCGUCUGGACAAGAAGUCAGAUGAGAGCCUGGAACACUAUUUUUAUAAUUUUGUGGCCAUGUGCCGGAACGUCUGUCGUCUGCCUGCCUGGAAAGAUGGUGGUCCCCCUGAUGCCACCGUCUACAUUGAACCCAUCACUGAGGAACGGGCUGCAAGAACUCUGUACCGCAUUGAAUUGUUACGGAAAGUCCGAGAGCAGGUGCUCAGGUGUCCUCAGCUGCAUGAGCGCCUCCAACUCUGCAGGCCCAGCCUCUACCUCCCAGUCUGGUGGGAGUGUGGCAAGCAUGAUCGAGACCUGCUCAUCGGUACGGCCAAACACGGGCUUAACCGUACUGACUAUUACAUCAUGAAUGACCCCCAGCUGUCCUUCCUGGAUGCCUACAGAAACUAUGCCCAGCAUAAAAGAACUGAUACUCAGGCACCAGGCAGUCUCUGUUGUCUUUACCAGACCAACUCCAAAUUAUAUGAAUCUCUUACCUAUGCUCAAAUGAGUAGGACUUCAGAGUCUCUUGAGAGUGAACCUGAGAACCUGGUGAAAAUUGAAAGCAGAGAUGAUCCUCUGGGUCUGCCUGGAGGCAGCUUUCCUGAUGUGACUUGUGACAAUUUUAUUUCUAAAGUUCAGGAUGUUAUUUCUAUCAACCAUGAUGAAAGUCUGCUGCCUGAGAGCUUGGAGAACAUGAUGUAUGGUAACAAGGUCCUCAGCCCAGAGCCAGGCUCUUUUCAGGAAGGCCCAGUAAUCAACACAGAAUGCAGAAAAGAUACUGUUGUGAUCUCAGCAAGCAAAAAUGCAGGCUGCCGGCCUGGUGACCGUGAGGCAGAAAUAGCUGCAGUUUCUCUUAUGGAUACCAUAGAAGCAGGAGUAGCUCAAAUGAACAUCGAAAGUGGAGAACAUUUGUUGACACCUAUUUCAAAGGAAAGGGAGCGCUGCUGCGGUGAGGCAGGGCGGAGACCUGAAAGCUUGGGGCAGCUGGAAGCCAAAUGCCUACCUUCCACUGCCUUGGAUGCAGGAAAUGAAAGUGGGUUUGUAGAUAUGUGCAGUCUCAGUGUCUGUAACUCUAAAAGAAACCUCUCAUCAGAUCAGAAAUUAAUUGAUUUAUUACAAAGCAAAAGUUUAGAAACUAAAUUGAUUUUGAGUCAGAACCAGAGUGAUGAGGAGGAGGAAGAGGAUGAAAAUGAGGAAGAAACUUUAGCCAUGGCAGCAGGCACCAGAGAAAAGCCAGAAGCUUUGCAUCUCACCAGUCCCACUGCUAACAACCCAAGGGAAAAGAGCCAAGGCUUCCAUCUGGAUGAAGCUAAGAAAGGAAGCCUAGAGGUGGUGAGCCAAACUCCUGGGCCGCCGAGGGCCUUUCCUCCAGCGUCCUGUCAGUGCCACUGCAAACACGUGGAAAGGUGGGCACACGGCCUCGGGAAUGAUGAAUUUGAAGUAGAGAAACCCAAGGCUUAUCACCCAGACCUGUACAAAAGCAAAGCCAAUAAUACCACCAUGGAAGGUGAGCCCACUACUAUUCCAUCAGAGCCAUUUAAAGUGAAGCCUGAGCUUUUAAAAGAACCUUGGAAAGAAUGUGCAGAAAGAAAAAAAGGUUUCUCCACAUACGCUCCCGAAGGAAGUGAACCCAAGUCAGAAGACAUGGAUUUCGAAAAUAAAGAUGACUAUGACAGAGAUGGAACCUGCCAGAGUCAAGACUAUCCAGGGAAAUACUCAGAAGAGGAGAGCAAGAGCUCAGCCUCGGGUAUUGCCGGAGACCUUGGGGAUGACCCACAGGAGGCUCGAGCUCCCACCAUUGCUCAGCUGCUGCAGGAGAAAACCCUCUACUCCUUCUCGGAGUGGCCAAAGGAUCGUGUGAUAAUUAAUCGCCUAGAUAGCAUCUGCCAUGUGGUGUUGAAGGGAAAGUGGCCAUCUAGCCAGCAGUAUGAGCCCUCGGGCACACUGUCCACCCCAGUCUUAGUCAACAGCGCUGGUUCUCGGAACAGUCUCCCGGAGCCAGAAGCAGCAGAACACAGCUUCAGCAACGGUGCGACAUUGGCAGCUCAGGUCCAAAAGGAGAGCUUCUUAGCUCCAGUAUUCACAAAAGAUGAACAAAAGCACAGACGUCCCUAUGAGUUUGAGGUGGAGAGGGAUGCCAAGGCUCGGAGCCUAGAACAGUUCUCUGCCACCCACGGGCACCCCCCCAUCGUCCUCAAUGGCUGGCAUGGAGAGUCAGCUAUAGACCUCUCCUGCUCAUCAGAGGGGUCCCCAGGAGCCACAUCCCCUUUCCCAGUGAGUGCCAACACCCCUAAGAUUGGGGCUAUCGGUUCACUUCAAGGAGCCCUUGGCAUGGACUUGUCUGGGAUCCUGCAAGCUGGCCUGAUCCACCCAGUGACUGGACAGAUUGUCAACGGAAGCCUCAGACGAGAUGAUGCUGCCAUGAGGAGGCGGAGGGGAAGACGGAAACAUGUUGAAGGCGGGAUGGACCUCAUCUUUUUGAAGGAGCAAACACUUCAGGCAGGAAUCUUGGAAGUCCAUGAAGACCCAGCACAGGCCACCUUGAGCACCACACACCCUGAAGGCCCAGGACCUGCUACCUCGGCCCCUGAGCCAGCAGUAGCAGCCAACGGCCAGGCCGAGAAAACCAUUCCAAGCAAGAGCCUGCUUGACUGGCUGCGGCAGCAGGCUGACUACUCCUUAGAUGUUCCUGGCUUUGGGGCAAAUUUUUCAGACAGACCAAAGCAGAGGAGGCCACGCUGUAAAGAACCUGGAAAAUUAGACAUCAGCUCUCUGAGUGGAGAAGAGAGGGUUCCUGCUGUCCCCAAGGAGCCAGGACUGAGGCGAGUGAGUGAGGAUUACCAGUCCCACCGGAAAGAGGAACAUCGAGAAUGUGGAAGGGGCAAAGAAGAGCUUGCUCCAGGUCCCAAGAACUCAGAUUUUCCAGGCCACCAAUCAGAAUGACCAAGGCCAGGUAAGUGCCUCAGUGGGAGGGGAAGAGAGGAGAAAGCUGUUGGAAGGGUCAGUGGGGACUGGACCAAAGGAGCCAGCCUCUUGGAGGGUGUCCCAUCCAGGAGCCUCCUGGAGCUGAGUCCCUGCCACAGACUUCUUGGCUUCUUUUCACAGGGUAUCCCACAAGUUGCCCGUCCCAUGUGGCCAUAGCACCUCCUUCAGUGCAGCCCACAGGUCUCCUAUUGAAAGCCCAGUGAGAGGCACUGCCAUCUGUGCCCAGCCCUGCCUCUCAGGAUCCAUUCUUACUCCACUGGACGGUUCUCAACACUCUGGGAUGCCAGAGAGUCUUGUGCCAACAGAGUGGAAAUCCCGGGGUAGCAGUUGUGGGGACCCCUGUGGAGGGGUCCUCCCUUGUGCCUCUGUGGGGCUGUGUGAACCAAGCCUGAGGACUCCUGCACUCAAAUUAGGUGAAUGCUGGGGAAACACCAACCCAUGCUCAAACACUGGUUGGAGUCUGAGCAUUGGACUCCCCAAUGGCUUCCAACCCUGCAGCCAUGAGGCCGUGGAGAUGGAAGCGGCACACAGCUGCCUGCUGGCUUCUGCAUAGCUUCCGGCAUCUCUCCGGGCCGCUCCUUCCCUGUCCGUGCAGGGCUGCCUGAGCCUGGGGUCUCACCCAGCUCUGCUACCCUUGGCAUGAAACUUUGAGAUGCUGAGUCCUCUUCCUUGGGGGUAGGAGGUCCUCAUACAAAGCUUAGCCUCGGGCUAUGGGGCCUCCUCUGGCUGAAGCUCUGCAACUGAUGUUCCUCUUCAAUCUUGAGACUUGCAGCGGGGGUCCUAAACCCCCCAGGCAGGGUCCCCAUCUUCCUGUUAGGCCAUUCCCUAUGAGCCUUUUUAUAAAGAGUUUGGCUGGGAGCCAGAGAAAUUUUGGAAAGUGUAUGGGCCAAGCCAAGCUGUACAAACCUGUCUUCCUCCCAGAGCUGAAAGAGGCCAGGUUGUUCCCAAAUGCAGAGGCGGAUGCAGGAGAUGGAAGAGAGAAGAGAGCUAUUUUAGGAGCCCUUGGACGCUGCGGAGCCCCCAGCAGCAGCCCAGGGAAGGAUAAGAUGG
ensembl:lincRNA